UUCAUAAUGGUUAUUUCAAUACCUUUCUCUAUUUAUCAACUUAGUUCUGAUUUAUCAUUAUAUUUAAUGUUUAGAAUUUAUCAUUUUAACUCUGAUUGAUGUAGGUUGUUUGUACUAUUUUUUUGAAUUUGUUUUUGAACUCAGCAAGCGAUUUACUCAUUUUUAGGUCCGUUUCGAGAUUAUUCCACAGAUUAACACCUUUGCUAGAUACGCUUCUUUGCUUGAUGUUUGUUCUUGUUUUGAGUUUUUUGAAUAAGUUGGUACCUCUUAAUUCAUAGUUGCUUACUCGAAUUUCGAAAAACUUCUGAAUGUUUUGGCAGAGCAGGUUAUUGUGUGCUUUGUACAUUAAUUGGGCGAUUUUAAAGUCAACCAGGUCAUAAAAUUUCAUCGUAUUUAAUUUGAUAAAUAGUGGAUUUGUGGGUUCCGUAUAUUUUGAUCUAUUAAUAAUUCGAAUUGCUUUUUUUGUAGUUUGAGAAUAGGGAGUGUGUUUGUUUUGCAGGCAUUUCCACACAGUAGGUCAUAUAUGGUAAUAAUAAU